rnacentral:tRNA from 1 species
AAGAAAAUAGUUUAAUUAAAACAUUAACUUGUCAGGUUUAAAUUACUAAAAAAAGUGUUUCUUU